GGAGAGAUGGAUGAGCGGUUUAAGUCGCACGCCUGGAAAGCGUGUAAGGGUGAAUAGCCCUUCGGGGGUUCGAAUCCCCCUCUCUCCGCCA
rnacentral:tRNA from 1 species